rnacentral:rRNA from 1 species
GAUGAACGCUAGCUACAGGCUUAACACAUGCAAGUCGAGGGGGCAGCAUGAAGUUUGCUUGCAAACUUUGAUGGCGACCGGCGGAUGGGUGAGUAACGCGUACCCAACCUGCCCCCUUCCCGGGCACAGCCCUUGGAAACGAGGAUUAACGCCCGAUGGCGUCUGGAUGCCGCAUGGCAUUCCGACCAAAUGCGAAGGAAGGGGAUGGGGGUGCGUCCCAUUAGCUAGUUGGCGGGGUAACGGCCCACCAAGGCAUCGAUGGGUAGGGGUUCUGAGAGGAAGGUCCCCCACACUGGAACUGAGACACGGUCCAGACUCCUACGGGAGGCAGCAGUGAGGAAUAUUGGUCAAUGGAGGCAACUCUGAACCAGCCAAGUAGCGUGAGGGAUGACUGCCCUACGGGUUGUAAACCUCUUUUGUCGGGGAAUAACUGCGCCACGUGUGGCGCCCUGCAUGUACCCG